UCUAUGAUUCAUAAAAAUCUGUGCUUUUGUUGGUUUGUGUUCGUCACAGUACACCUUGGAAACGUCAGCGUAUCCAAGAGAGCACGAGUUACUCAAGGAACUCCGGAAAGCUACUGUCCAGAAAUAUGGCAAUUUAAGCGAGAUGGAGGUUCCAGUUGAUGAGGGUCAUCUUUUAUCGAUGCUUUUAAAGAUCAUGAAUGCUAAGAACACUCUCGAGCUCGGUGUUUUCACCGGUUACUCUCUUCUUACCACGGCCCUUGCUUUGCCUGAAGAUGGACGUGUAAUGCUUUUUCUUUGUCUUGCUAUAAAUCAUAUUGUUGUGACCAUUUUUUAACAUGUGCAAGUGCAACCAAAACAUUCUAAAAGACGCAAUUACAAAAAAAAAAAAACAUUUCUUAAUAUAUUGGCCCCUAUACUGUUUCGAAAAAAAAAAAGUCUUCUAACAUAUUAUUCGUACCUUUAACAUAAAUUUUACACUUGACCUACAAAUAGUUUGAGAGGUCAUAGAUAGGUGGGAAUGGGAUAACAAAAAUAUUGUUAUGGAUACUCUUUUGGAUAUAGAUUACUGCAAUAGACAUCGACAAAGAAGCUUACGAAGUGGGACUAGAGUUUAUCAAGAAGGCAGAUGUUGAUCACAAGAUCAAUUUCAUCCAUUCCGAUGGUAUCAAGGCCUUAGACCAAUUGGUGAACGACAAACAAGAGUUUGAUUUUGCAUUUGCGGAUGCUGACAAGUCAAACUACGUUAACUUUCAUGAAAGGCUUCUGAAAUUGGUGAAGGUUGAAGGAAUCAUUGCGUUCGAUAACACCUUGUGGUUUGGUUUUGUGGCUGAGGAUGAAGAGGAAGUUCCAGAGCAUAUGAGGGAAUAUAGAGACGCUCUUAUAGAGUUCAAUAAGAAAUUGGCUUUAGAUCCUAGAGUCGAAAUCUCUCAGAUCUCCAUUGGAGAUGGUGUCACGCUCUGCAGGCG